rnacentral:lncRNA from 1 species
ACGAGGGAGCGUCCGCGGCCCGCGCAGAGCCGCGCACCAAGCCGAUGGCGGUGGACGCAGCAGGGCCCCGCGGUCUGAGUGCGGGCAGGCGCGCGUGGGCGUGUCUCCCUGGCCCACGCGUGUCCCCGGCAUCAGUGUCUCGGCUCUGGUCCAGGACGAAGACUUCUGAAAGCGAGCCAAGGAGAAUCACAGUUCUUAACGGAGCCCCUGACUGCCCGGUGGAAGGAGGUGAUUUAGAAGACAGUGAGACUCAGCUACUGUUCCCAUCGAGAUGCAAAGGACACAGAGCUCACGGGUGCUCCAGCAAUGCUGGUGUCAUGUUUGGAGGUAGCUGUCUAUGGACUACAGUAUUCUCCCAGUGCUAGUCUGCAGUCACUGCAAAGCCUCCCAAUAGAACAUUUCUUCCUGAGCCAACCUAUCAGUGCAGCUCUGGAAGCAAAUGACCUCUCCUGGCAGAGCCUUCACUGUGUGGGGAACAUCAGAUUUGUGUAAAGAAGAUCACCUGUCUCUUCUCAGGUGUGCACUGUAGAGAAGCUGCUGCGAAGGCCACAGGUCACUCAGGAAAAUUUGGGGCAGUUUUCUAGGUUCAAGGGAGACUGGACAUCAAAGCUGCACUGGGACAUAUGGACGCCUUGAUCCACUUUGGCCAUUCCACCUCAGCUCAGAAUUACUCACUGGUGUCAGAGUGAUUAAUUUCACUUUCAGUGCCUUCCUUCCCGAGUGGAGUGCUUCUGUAGAGACUCCUAAUUCAGUGAAACCUGUCCAGGGGAUCAUCCCUGCUAGACAGACAGCUGCGAGAGGCCAGUGGCUUCCCAGCAUGGAUUUCAGAUUAUGGCCAAUCAAGAGCUGGGGCUGUGGAACACCUGUUGGCAGCGACACUGGCUAAGGACGGAUGAGGAGAUGAGCUCUUUAAUCGAAUUUCAUUGUACUUCAGAAAAAAGGUUUAUUUUCAAUGUGGCGUUUGCUUUUAUGAUUCAUCCCUCUCAGCUGAGACAUCAAUUUGGGGCUUAUUUAUGGUGCUGUUCUAGAGUGAAACAAGAAGCUGCCAGGCCGUGCUUCAAAAGGCAGCCUCUCCCAGACGGUCGGUUUGCAGCUUGCUCAUGUGGGAAAAAAUACAGAAAAGAAAUGUAAAACUUUAGUGCUGAAGUUCUGUGUGUGAAUAUAAUUAGUGAUAGGGAUUCUUUUGAGCGCACUUCCAGAAUGUUGAAGCCCGAGAGUUCGUGUUCAUAGUGAAGUCUGGGGAACUUUCCUUGUGGAAAUCCGUUCCGCUUAUCUGUGAGCAGCGCAACCAUCAUUGAUACUGAUGGGCUCCGAAAGGCCGUGCACGGCUUUCAGCUUGGCCCUAAUUGGAGGACCUGCUAAGCUCAUAAUACCAGGUACUUUCUCACAGCUGCAGAGCGUGGAGUGUAACUAUCAGAAGACAAACUUCAUUGUGCAAACUGUAAUUUAAUGGUAUAACUGUGUGCAGCCCAGAAUAUCAGUUAAUUUUCAAAACAUUUUAUUCUACAGCAAUUAGCUCAGGUCCUGGAGGGCAAAAUGACAAGAGGUUACUCGUUCACUAUGUAUUUAAUUAAUUGAAAAAUGCUCCAAUUGCCUUUACAGUUGUUAUUAGAGAGUGGAAUCAGUGUUGCCAGCACUCAACCAUAAUUGGAACCCCAGGGAAUUAAAUAUUUAGCAUUAGUAAUGUACCAGCACUUAGGACACAAAUUUCUAUUUUCGUAAUGAAAGCUAUACACUGUGAGUGCAAGCUGCUGAAAGGACAGCUGUGACAAGCGAGACGGCCUGGGACAUUUCAAUAAGACACCUCAUUGGACAGCAAGUCUCACCACAUUACGCGUUUGUAAGAGACCUGCAAGUUUAAUUCCCAUGAGGAACUCAUAGCCCAAGUCUUUAGCGUCCUAAUUGCAUGCAGGAUGAAUGGUUGGGCAAAUGUCUUGCUGCAAAUGGCUCAAAUUCAUCCUCCUUUCUAAAUAAUCGCAUAUAAGUUCGUGCCUUUGUCAAUUUAAAAAUACUGGGACUGUCAGGGACUAGGGCCUUGUUUGUUUUUCCUGUAAUUAUAUUUUAAGCACACAUGCUUUCAGUGCUACAAUGAGAAAAGUUGGAUAUUGGGCUCUAAUGAGCUGCAGUGCUAGACACUGGAGACCCUGAGGGAUUCACUCCAUAAAUUAGCUGGAUAAAAAGUACUUGGUUAGGAUAUAGUUGAUGGCUGAGCUGUUCGUAAAACCAGUUAGAGUACUGUCUCGCACUCUGUUUCAUUCUAAACAGGCCCUGUAGAGACUUUAACAGCUGCCUGUUAACGCUGCUCAACUUGUCAAAAUGUAUUAUAUUACUCCACUAAUAAAUAGUAUUAAAAGGGA